UGGUGUGUGUUCCAACUUGGGAAAUCCUG
rnacentral:piRNA from 1 species